UACGUAGGGGGCAAGCGUUGUCCGGAUUUAUUGGGCGUAAAGGGCGCGUAGGCGGUGCGGUAAGAGUGUUGUGAAAUCCCCGGGCUUAACCUGGGAAUGGCAUUUGGGACUGCAAGGCUGGAGUACGGCAGAGGAGACUGGAAUUCCUGGUGUAGCAGUGAAAUGCGUAGAGAUCAGGAGGAAUACCGAUGGCGAAGGCAGGUCUCUGGGCUGAUACUGACGCUCAUGCACGAAAGCGUGGGGAGCAAACAGG
rnacentral:rRNA from 1 species